rnacentral:ribozyme from 2 species
GCCUUAAUGCAACUCCCUAUUGGGAACGGUCACAAGUCCGUGUAAAUGCAGAGUGAGGA